GGGGGUGUAGCUCUGUGGGAGAGAUCGUGCCUGUUAUACACAAGGUCCUGGGUUCGAUCCCCAGCACUGCAA
rnacentral:tRNA from 1 species